rnacentral:rRNA from 1 species
UGAGUAACCUGCCCUUAACUCUGGGAUAAGCCUGGGAAACUGGGUCUAAUACCGGAUAUGACUCCUCAUCGCAUGGUGGGGGUGGAAAGCUUUAUUGUGGUUUUGGAUGGACUCGCGGCCUAUCAGCUUGUUGGUGGGGUGAUGGCCUACCAAGGCGACGACGGGUAGCCGGCCUGAGAGGGUGACCGGCCACACUGGGACUGAGACACGGCCCAGACUCCUACGGGAGGCAG